rnacentral:rRNA from 1 species
UACGUAGGGUGCGAGCGUUGUCCGGAAUUAUUGGGCGUAAAGGGCUCGUAGGCGGUUUGUCGCGUCGGGAGUGAAAUCCACUGGCUUAACUGGUGGCUUGCUUUCGAUACGGGCAGACUGGAGGUAUGCAGGGGAGAACGGAAUUCCUGGUGUAGCGGUGAAAUGCGCAGAUAUCAGGAGGAACACCGGUGGCGAAGGCGGUUCUCUGGGCAUGUCCCGACGCUGAGGAGCGAAAGUGUGGGGAGCGAACAGG